UACGGAGGGAGCUAGCGUUGUUCGGAAUUACUGGGCGUAAAGCGCGCGUAGGCGGCUUUGUAAGUUAGAGGUGAAAGCCCGGGGCUCAACUCCGGAACUGCCUUUAAGACUGCAUCGCUUGAAUCCGGGAGAGGUGAGUGGAAUUCCGAGUGUAGAGGUGAAAUUCGUAGAUAUUCGGAAGAACACCAGCGGCGAAGGCGGCUCACUGGACCGGUAUUGACGCUGAGGUGCGAAAGCGUGGGGAGCAAACAGG
rnacentral:rRNA from 1 species